UAGCUCAGUUGGUAGAGCAUGAGACUCUUAAUCUCAGGGUCGUGGGUUUGGGCCCCGC
rnacentral:tRNA from 1 species